CCUACGACAGAUUCUUUGAUGGUGUAAAUUGUCCUAACUUCAAUGGUUUUGACUUAAUUUAUCCUGUUUGGAUCAGUCUGUUUCCUACACGGGCAAGUACUGACAUAGAUCCCCAGAAGACAUGGAGAGCCUUACCUGGACUGCAUACACCGGCAUUACAGUGUAGAAUGGAAGACAGCAUUUUACAGAUUAUCAAUAAGGGUCCCUGGAGGAAAGUCUGCAGGAGAGGACCCGUCACUGCUGGGCCAUGGUUUGCAGAGUACUCCCUGUCAGUCAGCACUGUGCCCACCAUGAAGCAGGAUGUGCCAGGCAUGAGGGAGGAGGAUGAGUGAGAGCAAAGUACCCACAUCUGCUGGGGAGGGAUGCAGCAUAUUUGUGGUUUAUCAGUACCAAAAGUGUAAGAAGAUGAUGGGACUGUGAUAAGAACUGAAGAUGUAUUUGAUCAGAAAAAAAUUAUGAAGAUUUUAGAGCUUACAAAGAAAAUGCAAUGCUUUUCUUGGCCCUAUCCACUGAACUGUUUCCCAUAAGAAAACUUCUGCAGCCACAAUGAACUCCACAAGCAUCAGUUGUCUGUGCAUGUUCAAAAAUGUGAGCAUCUUGGCAGAAUGGUGUCCAUUUGAACUCAAGGAUGCGUACAGCUUUUCAAACCAGAGCAGCACCAAAUGGGAGAAGAGCGUGUUACGUAUUUUUGUGUGCACCUAACUGAAACUUUGGUUUAUACUUGUAUCUAGGCCAAGCACAAGAGAAACAUGCCUAUCUUACCUGUUGUGUGCUGUAUUAGUGUGGUCACUGUACUGCAAAUGACCAACUUUUCUUUUCAAUAUUAUCCCUAUAUUCAGUCAUAAUAAAUAAAUAAAUAAACGUUUUGCCACAUCUUCUACUCAAAUUCAUGCAAUAUCUGUGUAUAUAUAAUAUCUGUAUGAUCCAGCUUAAGUUAAUCAGAGUAUAUACAUUAGUGUAUACACUGGUAUGUAUUACGAUUUAUAAUAAACAUCUUUAUAAAUGCGC
ensembl:lncRNA